rnacentral:rRNA from 1 species
GAUGAACGCUGGCGGCGUGCCUAAUACAUGCAAGUCGAGCGAACGGACGAGAAGCUUGCUUUUCUGAUGUUAGCGGCGGACGGGUGAGUAACACGUGGAUAACCUACCUAUAAGACUGGGAUAACUUCGGGAAACCGGCGCUAAUCCCGGAUAAUCUUUUGAACCGCAUGGUUCAAAAGUGAAAGACGGUCUUGCUGUCACUUAUAGAUGGUUCCGCGCUGCAUUAGCUAGUUGGUACGGUAACGGCUUACCAAGGCAAGGAUGCAUAGCCGACCUGAUAGGGGGAUAGGCGACCUUGGAGGUGAGACACGGUCCAUACUCCUACGGUAGGGCGCAGUAGGGUAUCUGCCGCAAUGGGCGAGAGCCUGACGGAGCAAGGCCGCGUGAGUGAUGAAGGUGUUGGGAGCGUAAAACUCUGUUAUUAGGGAAGAACAUAUGUGUAAGUAACUGUGCACAUCUUGACGGUACCUAAUCAGAAAGCCACGGCUAACUACGUG